GUCGAGCGAACAGACGAGGAGCUUGCUUCUCUGACGUUAGCGGCGGACGGGUGAGUAACACGUGGAUAACCUACCUAUAAGACUGGGAUAACUUCGGGAAACCGGAGCUAAUACCGGAUAAUAUAUUGAACCGCAUGGUUCAAUAGUGAAAGACGGUUUUGCUGUCACUUAUAGAUGGAUCCGCGCCGCAUUAGCUAGUUGGUAAGGUAACGGCUUACCAAGGCAACGAUGCGUAGCCGACCUGAGAGGGUGAUCGGCCACACUGGAACUGAGACACGGUCCAGACUCCUACGGGAGGCAGCAGUAGGGAAUCUUCCGCAAUGGGCGAAAGCCUGACGGAGCAACGCCGCGUGAGUGAUGAAGGUCUUCGGAUCGUAAAACUCUGUUAUUAGGGAAGAACAAAUGUGUAAGUAACUAUGCACGUCUUGACGGUACCUAAUCAGAAAGCCACGGCUAACUACGUGCCAGCAGCCGCGGUAAUACGUAGGUGGCAAGCGUUAUCCGGAAUUAUUGGGCGUAAAGCGCGCGUAGGCGGUUUUUUAAGUCUGAUGUGAAAGCCCACGGCUCAACCGUGGAGGGUCAUUGGAAACUGGAAAACUUGAGUGCAGAAGAGGAAAGUGGAAUUCCAUGUGUAGCGGUGAAAUGCGCAGAGAUAUGGAGGAACACCAGUGGCGAAGGCGACUUU
rnacentral:rRNA from 1 species